AGCCUUCUGUAUCCGUGCUGAGAUUUCGUCACACACCAGACCACAAAGUCUGACAUGACUCUCAAGAUAAGUGGAGUG
rfam:Schistosoma margrebowiei strain Zambia genome assembly, scaffold: SMRZ_contig0003493